rnacentral:tRNA from 1 species
GUUUGUGUGGUGUAACUGGUAGCACAUCUGGCUAGCAAUCAGAAGACUGCGUGUUUCGAAUCCCUGCGAACA